rnacentral:lncRNA from 1 species
AAGUUGUACCAUCAGUUCAAAUUAGCAUAAGCACGUCCCAGCAGAGUCAGCCAAGCAGAGCAGUAAAGGAAAAACUGAAAAGUAAAGCAACGGGACAUUGAAACAUCAGUAGGCUAAGAACAGACUCAUUCAACUGAAACUCAUGGCCAUAGUAGUAGCAGCAGCAGCAUAUAUUGCUGCCAAAAGAGAGCUCGUUCGUAGUACAGCCACUUGUCCGGUACGUAAUUACAGAUAUACUUGAACUAACACUCCGCUACUUUGCCAAGGAAGGCGAAACCACAGACGAUGAUCUGGUUCAGAAACCGCACCCCAGCGCUUAUUACAUCGGAGCGAUCGGAAGCGCGUUAGGCGGCCUAGUUCUCCAUGCGGAUGAUGCAGCGGAUGCCCUCGCCCUUCGCCAUGAGGUCGAACGCCUUGUUGAUCUCCGAGAACGGCACGCUGUGUGUGAUGAACUUCUCCACCUCCAGCUCCUGACCACAAUCGCAAGUUGUUCGAGCAUGAGGUUCAAGUUUUCAAGGACUAGAUAAAAGUGUCCAGCAUUCAACAUAUCUCAACAAGGUGCAAAGCAUAGACCAAGCUGCAGCAAUUAGCGAUUCCUGUUUACCUUUCUCAUGUACAUCUCCACGACAUUGGGCAGGUCAGUGCGCGGCUUGAAGUUUCCGAAGAAGGUGCCCUUGAGAGUCCUCUCGUUCAGGAAGUUCAUCGGGUGGGUCUUGAAUUCGGCGUCCUUGUGCGGC